AUACCAAAGUAGCCUUGGUAACAACAAUAAGAGGGUUGGGCUUUUUGAUAUGGGUGAUGGAAGUAGUGAGCCUGCUGCUGAGGACAACAUUCAAAUGCAUCAGAACGAUAUUGUGCCGCAAUUACCACUGUAUUAUUAUUACCUAAGUGAAUGGACAUACCACCACUUCGCUAGAGAGGUUUGA
rnacentral:misc_RNA from 1 species